AGGAGGAACAACCCCAGUGGCAGGGCCAGCUCUGCAGCCCUGGAGUCAGCUCCCGCAGUAGCUCCAGAGCUCUCUGCCUGCAGGGCCUGGAGGCUCCGGGCGGGG
rnacentral:pre_miRNA from 1 species